AUAAGUAAUAACAGUUACGGUUUCCGGCGCCUGGAAGGGCGCCGGAAUGAAAAGGGAACCCGGUGAAAAUCCGGGACAGUGCCCGCUGCUGUGAUCCCCCCGUCGGCAUCUGCCGGCGGCGCGGUGCUUCCGAAAAGGCCACUGGUCCGCGCCUGCGGACCGGGAAGGCCGGAAGCAUGGGGAGAGUCAGAAGACCUGCCGUAACGAAGUAAUGCUU
rnacentral:ncRNA from 2 species